rnacentral:rRNA from 1 species
CUACGGGAGGCUCCAGUCGAGAAUAGUCUACAAUGGACGAAAGUCUGAUAGUGCGACGCCGCGUGGAUGAAGAAGCAUUUCGGUGUGUAAAAUCCUUUUUUGUGUGAGCAAUGGUUUGUGUUUUAAUAGAACGCAGAACGAGAUAUUAGCAUAAGAAUAAGCUCCGGCUAACUCCGUGCCAGCAGCCGCGGUAAUACGGGGGGAGCAAGCGUUGUCCGGAAUCACUAGGCGUAAAGGGUAAGUAGGCGGAAAUGCCAGUCAGAUGUUAAAUGCAUCAGCUCAACUGAUGUUCAGCAUUUGAUACUGUAUUUCUAGAGUAAGGCGGAGGAAGACGGAAUUCUUGGUGUAGCGGUGGAAUGCGCAGAUAUCAAGAAGAACACCGAUGGCGCAGGCAGUCUUCCAUACCAUUACUGACGCUCAAUUACGAAGGUGUGGGUAUCGAACAGGAUUAGAUACCCCAGUAGUC